CUUCAGUCCCAAUUUAAUGUUCUUCCUCUACUCUCGUUCCCUAAGCCAAUUCCUAAGGUCAGCAACGUACUGAAAUGCAAGUGGAAAUACUACAAGAAAAAACUAUCGACCAGGGAAACUUAAAGCCUAAGACUCUGUAUUCAGAUUGAUGGGAGCGUCUCCUGGCUGUGCUAAGGCAACAGUGGUUGCUAGCAUUGAUGGAGGACCCUGACUCAGUGUGAGAGCAAUGGUGCCUUUCCUACUUUCUCUGCCUUUAUCUCAGUCCCUGCCCUUUCCUCUUCCUUUUCCUUUUCUUUCUUUUUUCUUGCUUUUGUUCUUACUGGGAAAUAAAGACUUAGUUGGGAAGAACAGACUAAGUAUUCAAGGGUGGGACCCUGAGAUUCCAGUGAGCCUUGUAUUGCCACUGAAACCCUUGAAUCCAUAGUGAUGAAACCUGCUUGACUAUUUAUGACAGUGGAGGCUGAGCAUGAUGAGAAGAUGCUCUGAGUGGGAAACAGAAGU
rnacentral:lncRNA from 1 species